AGUAGAGCGUGUCCCGAAAUUAACUUGAAUAACCUAAUUUCUACCUUCCCGCCGAUCUGUUCUUACACACUGUGCAAAGGGCAAAACAGAAGUGAAACAAGAGAGAUUAACAAGGUCUGUGCCAGCUGUUAGAGGAGAAGUCAUUGUUUGUCUGCAUUUAAGGAGAAAAGGACACUAUUUGGCAGCAUGGGGUGCCUCGGAGUCGCUGGAGCUAAUGAUCAUCCUGAGAAUUGAGCUGUGAGGCGAGUUGCCCAUUGACCGGCCCUGACUGCUCUCGCUGACAGGUGCUAAUGGGAGGGGGCAGGACACAGCUGCCUGAACAGGAAUCCCAUUAUCCUUUGCUGGGUAUUGAUUCACCCUGUGGGAUGUUUCCUUUCUGGCUGUGUUAAUUUUCAGAGUGCACAUUUGCCUCUUUCUCAGCAGAGAGAGAGAGCGAGAGAGAGAGAGAGAGAAAGAGCGUCAGAGGUGCUCGGGGCAAACGUAAUGGGCCCUGCCUUCCAGUCUGCAGAGGUUGUGUCUGUGGGGAUGUGGGCUCCUCUAAUUACAGUGCCUGCUAGGGGACGGGGUUGCAAGAAUAGCUUUGCCACUAAUAUAAUUGCCCUGAGGUGCAUAGCAAAUUAAUCUAAUGACACAAGGUGCAUUUUGAAAGUUGUCCCCCCCCCAUCUGUAAACAGUAGUUCUCAUUUUCGACUUGACGUUUUUUGCACAGAAAAUCCAGGAAGUGAUCCAGCAGUUGGAAUCCGCGCCAUUGACAGUCAUCUGAACAUUUUCACUGUCUCUUUUGUUUACACACAGGCCUUCUAAAAACCUUCAGGGAUAAUUUAGAAGUGAUCUUCGCCUUUGGCCACGCUCUGUGGUCUGCUGGUUUGUGCUGAAGGGCAAUAGGUGGGUGGGGUGGGGUGGUUAUAAGGAAAAUUGCUGAAAAUAAUGUUUAAAGAUGUCUUCUUAUUGCAGGUAAAUCAUGGCAGAUUGCACGUUGAAGAACACAGGCGGUGGACACAAUGCUGAGAACCCAGGGGGGCGUCUCGGUCACCUCACUGGCCCUGCUGGGCCUCAGCCAGCCCGAGGCGUGUACAGAACGUCUGCCCGUUAAAGGAGUUUCCCUGACUUAGAGCAAAACCCUGCAUUCCUGCCAAAUGUGGGCACGUGUGUGUGCGUGCGUGUGUUAUGCCUCAUGACAGUGGCAUUUUAGGCACAUUUACAUACUUGGGCAAUCAGUUUAGUUCAUAGAUUACUCCGAUUUCUGUCAUCUCCCAUGUCCUUGCUUUGUCGUGAUGCAGGAGCUGCAUGAGGCCUUACCUUGGAAGGGACUCCUGUCCCAUGGCCACUGUGGAUUCCCAACCUCCGCCCGCCCGGUGCUCCGGGAGCCCUGGCCUCAGUGUUGUGUUCCUGUCUCUGAACUGCUUAGGGCCAUAGGCUUCUUCAGUCCCUUUGCUUCUCCUCCCCUGGGACAGUUUUGCCAAAAACACUUCCCCACAGCAUUAAAAACUCUUUGAGGAUGUAAGUGCCCAAAGACGGGGUAAUCUUCAGGGCAAGGAGGGACACCGAGUGAGGGAGUACAUCUCCACAAACCUGAAGCAUCGUGGAUGGAGGGAUGAGUCCUCCAAAACAGGAGGUCCUGUCCCACUGGUGGGGAAGAGUGAAAACGAGAAGCUUUCAUUUGCUCAGGAGUCCCUGGGUGAGUCAGGUGUGGGACACAGGACUGGGCAAGGCUCCAGCCUGCAGUUCCCCUGUGAGGGCUCAAGGAUGUCCUGGACUCUGGAAGAGUCACGCAAGUUUGGUUUGCAGCUAGAGAACCUUGUGAUACUUGCUCAUCUAAUGCUGGCUCAUCUGUUUGGUUGGCUUUUGGGGGAAGAGAAUUCUAAAAUGUAGCUUUGCCCAUGUCCCCACUCCCAACCCUACAUGGGCUCUGUCUCUCUAUUAGCAUUAGGGCAGCACCCGAUCUCCAGACUGGGCCCUUUGCAGUGUGCCCCAGCUCACCUCCAAGGCCCUGUCCCCUCUCCCCCUCACUCAUGCUCUGUGUCAUGCGCUGUAAUGAUGGUAAAGACAUCGGCCAGCGUAGUCCUUAAUGAUGCAUGACUCUAAGUUCUCAAACGUCAGCGUGCAGACAAGUUCCCUCGGAUCAGGUUCCAGGUCACUGUUUGAUGUGGACCCAAAACGCUGUAUUUUCUACUGAGCUCCCAGGGACCGCUGAUGGUGCCUGGAUCCCACUUUAAGGAGCAGACACUUAGCAUGCAUUCACUUACUUAAUCCUUAUAACAACCUCUGGGGUUGGUGCUAUGGUUGUCCCUACUGUCCAGACAGGGAAACUGAGGCAUGGGAUGCUGAAGCGGCUUGUCUUAGGUCACACAGUAAGCGAGUUACCGGGCUGGGAGUUGGGCUCAGCAGGUCUCGCUCUCAGGUCCAUUUUCUUGUCCACUUGCCUGUGCUGCUUUGCAAACAGGUUUGGAAGAGUCCGUGGCUUUCAGCUGGCCUCCCCAGCUGCUUUCUCCCCUCCAGGCCUCCGAUGCGGUUAGUCAUCCUCUCCCUCCCUCAGCGUUCUCAUCUGUGAAGUGGGGCUGUGACAAAAACCACCUUGUAGGGUUGUUAUGGGGAUCAAAUAGGACAGGCUGUGAGCCUUCCUUCGGUGUCCCCUCCUCCUCCUUAUUAUUUCUAUUAAGUGAUUGCUAAUGGGGACUGAAAUUCCACUGACUGUGCUUGAGCUGCCCCUGUAAGGCUCGUGCAUGACCUGGGGUGCUGCUGGAAGUCUCUGCACAUCUUCCUCCUCUGCAAAGGGCAUAAUAGUAAUUGCUUCCUCACAGCGUGAUCUUGUGAAGGAUGAACUAGAUAAGGCACACACGAGCUCUUUGUGUAAGGCCGGCAUGCAGGAAGGUGUUAAAAAUGUCAUUGUUUUCAAUUCAGUGAACAUACCUCUUUCAUCCACAUCCACACAUUCUUAUUCAAUUAAUACUCUAAGCGCUUUCACAUGCAUCAUCUUAUUUCAUCCCAAUAAGAGUCUUGUGAAACACUGAUAUAUUUCUGCCAUACAGAUGAGAGAAUGGAGUCGGUGGGACAUGCUCGAAGCCAUGUGGUCCGUUGUUAGUGGAAUAGAAUCGAAAGCCCCAACCGUGUUCAUUAUUGCUCUUUCCACAGUGGUUCUGGUGUGGUGAGCGACCACUAGAUGCACAAGAAGAGCACUCACAUGUGGGAACUUUAUCGAGUUUCUCUGCAACUCUACUUAUCUGCUCCCUUAGUUCUGAGCGUGUUUGUUGUUUCCUUAAAUCUCCUUCUUAAUGUGUUUAUGUUGUUAUUUAUUACGUCUUUAUGUCUCUCUUCAUGAAGCUUUGUCCCUCUUGCCCUCUGAAUUUUCAUGAUAACCCUUGGUUGUAGUGGCAUGGGUGGAGAAGCCAUGUCCAGCUCUUGUCGCCAAUCUCUUUUUGGUCUUAAGAACCAAGUCUCCAGAGACAAGAUGUUGGGGUCAGAGGGGAUAUGGAGCAGUCCUUACCCCCAGUAGAACUAACUUCCCCCUUCAUCAUCUAUGAAACAGGGGUAGGAGUGAUUGAUACACAUUGUAAAAUUGAGUCCAGAUUGAUUACAGGGUAGAGUGCACCCAUGUUCCAUACAGUGCUCUGGGAUGAACCAGCAUCUAGGGUGGAGGUCAGUUAGACACUCUCUGAAGUUGGUGUCUAACGGAUAGAUAGUCAUUCAUUUUGGAGUUGGGACAUGUGGUUCUCCCCAAAAUGUUACACAGCCAGCACAAGAGUUAUUUAUCAUAAGCUUGUGAUGUGCUUAUAAAUAGGACAGACCUUUUGGGGAUUUAAAAGACCAGAACACACACACACACACACAUGCACAUCUCUUAUAAUGAACUCAAGGGGAUUUGCUUCUAGCUUGGAGACCUUAUAAAGGAAAUAAUCAGGAAAUAUUUGUGAUAUUUUCCAAUUAAGAACUCAGUGGCAAGUAUGGUCAAAUGCUGAUGAUUUGAUGUCAGCCAGAAGGACUGUUCUCUGUGCAUAAUUUGGAUCACUUUGUCCCUCUAUUUGAAGGGAGAUGGAAUUUUCACAUUACUGGGGUGGAAAAGGGGCGGAGAUGUGGAGAUCUGGUUUUCUAGAAUGGAAGUGACCAUAUUGUGGAAAGAAUAUUGGACUUGCAGGCCAAAGACUCGCAUCCCAAUUUUUGGAUUCAUAUUCGUUCACAGUAGGGUCUUACGCAAGUUAAUUAACCUCUCUGAACCCAAUUUUCUCAUCUGUAAGAUGGAGUUAAUAAUAAUCUAUUUUAAGGAUUGCUGAGUAGAAGAAAUACAAUAGACGUGAGCGUGUUCUGUAAACACUGGAGUGCUGUAUUCAUUAGCGGGUUAUUAUUACAACAGUGUUCACAACACAACUAACCUGAACGCCCAAAUGUGGGACACGAUACGGAGUGCAGAGGUGAACGACCCCGUCCAUUGUCCCCAUGACUGUUGCUAAUGAAUGGUCAGGUCUCAACUGGGGAGGUAGAGUCCCUGCGGCUGAUGGGUAGAUGGUGCGGCCUUGGGGAAUGGAGGAGCCAGCGCACAAGAAGUGUAGACCAGAGGCAUGCAGGGUGUUUGCAGUGCUGUACAGCCAUCACCGUCACCUCCUUCCUCAAUCUUUCAUCACCUCAAGUGGACAACACGUCCCUGUAUAGGAGUCAUUCCCUGAAAAAAAAAAAAAAAAAAAAA